AAGGUUUUCGGAUCGUAAAACUCUGUUGUUAGAGAAGAACGUUGCAUAGAGUGGAAAAUUAUGCAAGUGACGGUAUCUAACCAGAAAGGGACGGCUAACUACGUGCCAGCAGCCGCGGUAAUACGUAGGUCCCGAGCGUUGUCCGGAUUUAUUGGGCGUAAAGCGAGCGCAGGUGGUUUAAUAAGUCUGAUGUAAAAGGCAGUGGCUCAACCAUUGUGUGCAUUGGAAACUGUUAGACUUGAGUGCAGUAGAGGAGAGUGGAAUUCCAUGU
rnacentral:rRNA from 1 species